AACGAACGCUGGCGGCAUGCCUAACACAUGCAAGUCGAACGAGACCUUCGGGUCUAGUGGCGCACGGGUGCGUAACGCGUGGGAAUCUGCCCUGGGGUGCGGAAUAACUCGGAGAAAUCCGUGCUAAUACCGCAUAAUGUCUUCGGACCAAAGAUUUAUCGCCCUGGGAUGAGCCCGCGUAGGAUUAGCUAGUUGGUGGGUAAAGGCCUACCAAGGCGACGAUCCUUAGCUGGUCUGAGAGGAUGAUCAGCCACACUGGGACUGAGACACGGCCCAGACUCCUACGGGAGGCAGCAGUGGGGAAUAUUGGACAAUGGGCGAAAGCCUGAUCCAGCAAUGCCGCGUGAGUGAUGAAGGCCCUAGGGUUGUAAAGCUCUUUUACCCGGGAUGAUAAUGACAGUACCGGAGAAUAAGCUCCGGCUAACUCCGUGCCAGCAGCCGCGGUAAU
rnacentral:rRNA from 1 species